rnacentral:sRNA from 1 species
AGGAAAGCGGCCGUCCCUUGGCGCGGGGCUGGUCUGCCACGGGCGCCUCCCUGUGUCCCCGGGACCGCCGCACGGCCUCUGCCACAAUCGGCCCUUUCAGUCCCUCAGAAGCACUUGGGUUUCAAAGUCUCCAUGUCAUUAAAACGACGAGCAGGGAGACGAGGCGGCCGGAGCGUGUCUGCCGCAGUCUGGGCUGUGAACUGGCCCCUCGCCUGCCCCUCCUCCUGAGCCGGAGCUGCUCCGGAGAACAAAAAGCUCUCCUCAUGGAAAGUUUUACUAACCUGGCCCGGCGCCCAGGUCUGAGGCCUUCCCCGCGGCUGAGGAGGAUUGAAAGAGUCUGUGUGCCGCCAUCCAGCACGCAGCGUCGUUAACGUCGCAGACGGUGGCUACCGCGUGAUGGAUGGAGCAGUGGACUCGGCCGUGCAAAUCAUUCAUUAGGUAAAUGAAAUAAUACGAAAUGACCUCUCCAGCACGAACACCCACUCCUAGUUGCCACAUUGGAGCACUCAGUUCAGCGGGGGUAUGCUGACUUCAGCAGACAAAGACUUUUGAAUAAAUAAACUGAACGCACACCUGG